ACCUCGGUCUUCAUAAAACAGUAGGCAAUAAUUUCCCGGCUGGUGCACUAUUUCUCGCGAGAUUUGGUCGUGCGUAUACUACUGUUGCGUCCGAAUGCGCCUACUUACCUACUAUAUAGUAUGAGAAAACAAGAGUAGUAUGUCCGAAUCCUCAGUAUUCAUAAAAGACUAGGUGAGAAAUUCGCGGAUGGCUUACUGGUUACUCCCACAUUCUGAAGCACCCAGCGACAGAUACUUGGGAUACUUCUCUAUCCCAUGAGCCCACGGGACAGAAUAAGUUCAUACAAGAGCAUAGCGGAGAACUGCGAGGCAGGUGUUUUCAAAAGGACAGAUGAGCACACUCGUUAACAUCACGAAGGUGGCGACGGUGGUCCGCUGCGAGAUGGCAGUAGGAUGUGGGGUUCAACGCCUGUAGAUACAGGAUCAUUUGUUACAACAAUAAAUUGAAAUAAAGCUUUGAUUUAUGUGAUGUU